AAAAGGCUACGUUUUUGUCUAGAAUGUUCCUGCUGAAAACAUAUAAAAAGGCUUACCCAUCUGCAAAUGUUCAGUAAAUAUGAGCUUGUGUGAAAGAGGCAAGCACUCUGUAGAAGAAGUAAAGUAGGAGAGACAGCAGGUGGCACUGCAGCCUGUGAAGACCAGCCAAAGACCAAGCCCUUCAACGAAGUCACCUCCAGUCCAUCCACUGAUGACAUCACUUCCAGCACCCUCUGAUGACAUCACUUCCAGUAUCCUGAACCCACCUUCAGACAACAUCACUUCCUAUUCUGGAUUCCCUGAUUGCACCUCUUCCUGUUCUGGCCAUAUUUAUAGACCAGACUCAUCCUGUUAGCUCAGUGCUGUUCAGGACUCAAAUCUGUAAAAAUGUGUUUCUUUUUUAAUGCUAAUUUUCAAGUAUACAGGGUGGCCAAACCUUUUUGUUGUCUACUGCCUUAUCUCUUGACAAAGGCUACUGAGGCCUUGUUCAUGGAGGUGGGCUGAUUGGUAGCAGCCAUGCUUCAUUUGUUACCAUGAACACAGCCAACCACUUUGCCCGGUGCAUCAACACAAACUCUUCUACAAUCAAAUGGCUUAUUUUGUCCUUGGAGUGGACACCUCACAGUGCUUAAGGGAAUGGCAUCACCAGUGAAAUAUUUAAUCAUUCAAUAUCACAGUUUCAACAGAUUUAUGAGUAUUGGGCAGCCUCUGCAUUUGAAGUGCAGAUUCUCUUGACAUUCUCUUAACACUGCCUCAAGGUUUAUUUUCUUCAAAGCUGCCAACUAGCCUAAGAAAUGGUCAUGUUCUUAUCUAAGAUCUUCCCCUUCAAUGUUUACAGCAUUGUGACUAAAUUUACAUUACUCAAGACCAGAAAAUGUACAAAAGGGAAUGGGAAAAACCACAAAAAAUGAAAUCAAAAUAGUGCUAAAUUCACAAAA